ensembl:snoRNA snoZ196 Small nucleolar RNA Z196/R39/R59 family
UGAUGAAUAAAAUCAAAUCACCAUCUUUCGGCUGA